AGCGAACGCUCGCGGCGUGCCUAACACAUGCAAGUCGAACGUGAAAAGGGAAACCUGAGUAAAGUGGCGUACGGGUGAGUAACGCGUAGGUAAUCUACCCCAGAAUCUGGAAUAACCUGCCGAAAGGCGGGCUAAUACUGGAUAGAGCGAGGGAACUCGUAAGAGAGUUUUUCGGGAAAGGGAGCCCGCAAGGGCCUUCGUUCUGGGAUGAGCCUGCGUCUCAUUAGCUAGUUGGUAAGGUAACGGCUUACCAAGGCGAUGAUGAGUAGCUGGUCUGAGAGGAUGAUCAGCCACACUGGAACUGAAACACGGUCCAGACUCCUACGGGAGGCAGCAGUGGGGAAUCUUGCGCAAUGGACGAAAGUCUGACGCAGCCACGCCGCGUGAGUGAAGAAGGCCUUCGGGUUGUAAAGCUCUGUCGGAUGGGACGAACAUCUUCAUAGUGAAUAGCUAUGAGGACUGACGGUACCAUCGAAGGAAGCACCGGCUAACUCCGUG
rnacentral:rRNA from 1 species